UGCCUUAGUAACGGCGAGUGAAGCGGCAAAAGCUCAAAUUUGAAAUCUGGUACCUUCGGUGCCCGAGUUGUAAUUUGGAGAGGGCAACUUUGGGGCCGUUCCUYGUCUAUGUUCCUUGGAACAGGACGUCAUAGAGGGUGAGAAUCCCGUGUGGCGAGGAGUGCGGUUCUUUGUAAAGUGCCUUCGAAGAGUCGAGUUGUUUGGGAAUGCAGCUCUAAGUGGGUGGUAAAUUCCAUCUAAAGCUAAAUAUUGGCGAGAGACCGAUAGCGAACAAGUACAGUGAUGGAAAGAUGAAAAGAACUUUGAAAAGAGAGUGAAAAAGUACGUGAAAUUGUUGAAAGGGAAGGGCAUUUGAUCAGACAUGGUGUUUUGUGCCCUCUGCUCCUUGUGGGUAGGGGAAUCUCGCAUUUCACUGGGCCAGCAUCAGUUUUGGUGGCAGGAUAAAUCCAUAGGAAUGUAGCUUGCCUCGGUAAGUAUUAUAGCCUGUGGGAAUACUGCCAGCUGGGACUGAGGACUGCGACGUAAGUCAAGGAUGCUG
rnacentral:rRNA from 1 species